rnacentral:sRNA from 1 species
CGGGUUCGGUCUGCUGCGGGGAGAUCAGGUGGGCGUGGGUUUCGAUCGCCCCGGCAGUGACGAUCAUGCCUUCGGCCGGAACGGGGGUGGUGGCCGUUCCCACCACCAUGCCCGCGGUGACCCCCGGCAUGGUGUCCGGGUUGCCCGCCUUUCCGAUGCCGACGAUCCGGCCGUCCCGGAUCCCGAUGUCCGCCUUGAUGAUUCCGGCCACCGCAUCGACGAUCAGCGCGUUCAUCAGGACGUAGUCCAAAGCGCCGUCGGCGGCCAUGGUCGAGGGACGAUAGCCUUCGCCG